UCGAGGAUCUUUGGCAAUGGGCGCAAGCCUGACCAAGCGACGCCGCGUGUGCGAUGAAGGCCUUCGGGUUGUAAAGCACUGUCGAGGGGGAUAAAACCGCAAGGUUGAUAGAUCCCUGGAGGAAGCACGGGCUAAGUUCGUGCCAGCAGCCGCGGUAAGACGAACCGUGCGAACGUUGUUCGGAAUCACUGGGCUUAAAGGGCGCGUAGGCGGCUUGUCAAGUCAGGGGUGAAAUCCUGCAGCUCAACUGUAGAAGUGCCUUUGAUACUGGCGAGCUCGAGGGAGGUAGGGGUGGGUGGAACUUCCGGUGGAGCGGUGAAAUGCGUUGAUAUCGGAAGGAACGCCGGUGGCGAAAGCGACCCACUGGAUCUCUACUGACGCUGAGGCGCGAAAGCCAGGGGAGCAAACGG
rnacentral:rRNA from 1 species